GCAAGAAACCAAUAGAUAUUAUUUUAUUACUAUUACUUUCAUUAGGGGAAAAUCGUUCCAACGAGUUUCAGGGUAGAAUGCCUGUCCCCGAUUCCAGCCUGCGUCCUUUCUAGAGAUUGGGUCGUUUCCUGUUAAAGUGUUUCCUGGAACAAUGGGGUUUCCCCUGAUCCAGGGGCCUCGUUCCCUUCCCCAGGAUUAAGCGCCCGCUUCCAGGACUCUUCCUCGAUCAGCCAAGUGUGGUUUAGAAAGAGAAAGAAAAAAGAGGCCGUUCAUAGUUUGUUUCAAGAGCAAAGUAACCUGGGGACUCCAGGUCUCAUUAGGCAGCCUCUGCAGAGUUCCAGAGCAGCGCGAUCCGGAUUCGUACUCAGACUUGUUAGUCACAAGCCAGAAGGCCUGGCCUCUGGGCUGAAGACUCUGGGAACAAAGCACUCUGGGAACAAAGCACUCUCGCGAGAUCUUGGGUUUACUGAAUUAGAACGUGCGACUAGAAUCCAAAAGACGGUGUGGUGAGAUGAUUCAACCACGUACCAAAUGCGGGUACCAGCAAUCAAGCAGCAGAGGGUAUUUAUAAAACACCAGCUGGACGGGGCGCAGUGGUGAAUGCCUGAGAUCCCAUCCCAGCACUUGGGAGGCUGAGGCAGGAGGAUUGCCACGAGUUUGAAACCUGACGACAUAGGCGAUCCUCAUGUAUUCAACAGGGCUACCGGUGCUUCAGUGUAACAAUUAUGUGGCUUCUCAGAGCAGUGGUCUGUACACAGUUCUCGGAGCUGGAUAGGAGCUGAGCCUCACCCCCAGAGAGAAAGAAACUUUAUGUUCCCAUGCUUGUGGCAUUUCUGGGGCUCCAUUGACAGCUGUUUGGCAGCAGGAGCUGUCGUUUCUAAUGGCUAUUAAAGUCAUGUUACCUAACAGCCAUGGCUCGGGGUUGUUAUGAUUCUACUGUGGCUUGGAGCCUCCAGAUCAGCCUAAACAAGCCAUUAGAGGAGCCGGAGUGUAAGCCGAGAGCCAAGCAGCCUCGGCUGACUUCAGAAAAGCAAGGAGACUCGGCGUACAAGUCUAGGAGAAGGGAAGUCAACAAACGGCCUUGAGAUAAAAGUAAGUAUGAGGAGGAGGAAUAAUAACUCAGAGCCUCUAGCCCACAGCCAACAGCUUUAAAGCGACAGGGGAGCCACGGGACAGGAAGAGAAUGUCCAAGACCCUGGAGGGCGAACCGUAACUUGGAUGAGAAGUGGGAUUACAGCUGGUCCAGAGGAUCAACUGAGGGAACAAAGGUACGAACCACCGGGAAAUAAACGACGUUUCCCCGAAACCCCGAAUCUGAGCAGAUUUCUUAGUCUGUGUCACAGCGAGCAUUACCCUUCAUGGUAGUUUCCUCAUUGGAGUUUCUUUGAGAUUUUCUUUUGCUCCUUUUAUUAACUGGCUACUUUCAUAAGUCCUCGUUAAACUGUAUAUUCAAAAUAAAAAAAUUUAAAUGGGGUAUGGUGGUGCACGUCUAUCAUCUCAGCAGAGGAUUUGGAAUUCAAGGCUAGCCUCAGCUAUAUAGGGAGUUCAGGGUCAGCCUGGGCUAGAUGAGACUCUGUCUCACAAAACAAGAAGAAGGAACAAAUCAACUUUGGGGACUCUUCUUGAAGGUACAACAUCCCUACAAACUAGCCGUGAGCACCUGGCCCGAGCUACCAGGUCUUCCAGUGUGAUCAAGCUCUUGGUCCGUCUUUCCUUUGAUGGUUGAACCUGGUGAUAGUCAGGCAUCUGUGAAAUUCCCUCACGCCUUCUGCUAAGGCACUCUACCCUGAUUCCCAGCAAAUGCAUUUGAAUCAGGGUUCACCCUUCCCACCUGUUUGAUCUCACAUCCGGGGCUACUUUCCACGCGGCCUCUGUGUGGUGUGGCCUUCGAGUCUCCCUCUCUAGGCCCUGCUGGUACGAUCGAUCUUUUAUAUUUACCUUCCCGUCUAGUGUGAUUUCCAAGGCUGUGCUGCAGGGUCCUGAAAGACUUCCCCACUUACAACAUAUCUAUGCUUCCUAGACUUCCUGACCUCCUCCUUAGUAACAUCUGGACACUCGACGUUCCCAUCACAACGUAGCACAAUGAGCCACUUGUUUUCCAUGUGCUUCUGGAAGCAGAGCCCAGGGCUGCUUUGCACACCUCGUGCUUCUGGCUCUUCAUGCAGCAGUCUUUUCCUAGAAGGUAUGUAAUAGGCAUUUGCAUGGUUAAGUUCCCUCAGCUGACUUGGAGUGUCACGGUAGAAGCAGCCAGUGUUCCUUCCUGGUGAGGGUCGGGUCUAUUUUAACCUCAGUGCCCCUGGGAGCCCCAGGUAAGCAGUGGGUGCAGAAUGAGUGCUCUGCACAUGCGUCCUGAUGGCCCCCACACUCGGGGGGGAAAGGACGGCUUCAGAUGUCUGAUGCAGACUGGCAGGUUUAUCAGACGACGAGAGAGGGCUGCCUGCGCCGCAUAUCUGAGGGUAUGGAGUGCACAGUGUGAGGUCAAGAGAGUAAAUGUGUAUUUCUGUCACUUGGACACAUACCAGGUCGCUUGGAUGUGAUGGGAAUUGUGCCUGCUAACGUGGCAAAUUCUCCCCCUGGCAGGAGGGCCCAAGUUUGCUGGCUGCCUACGCUAGCAGACUGGCAGAACCCAAGGCAUCCGGGGUACAGCUGUCAGAGCAAGAACAAAGGUGGUGCGAAUUCCUGAUGAGGGGGGACCUUGUGCUCAGGGCAUCUGCAGUGUUUAAUCUAGAAAGAAGGAAAGUGGUGGUGGGCCACAGUUGGGAGGUGGGCCAUGCUGCUGUGGGCAGCAGGAGGCUGAGAGCCAACUGCCCUUGCUAGUUCUGUGACCUUUCUCUAUCAGCCCCAGGCUAACACUAGAGCUUCUUGGGCUCAAAAGUUGUUUGUGAAUGGGACUUGUUCAAUAUCAAUGGGGUUGGGCCUUUAACCCAUUUUUGCCUAUGAGAAAAGUAGAGAGAGAAAGGCAGGCGUGUGCACAUUCAUACAAACAACAUUUAAUAGUUCUUCAUAUUUGAAUAGGAGCUUCAUUCGUCUUUGAUACAACACACUGAACUCUGUCACACACACACAUAUGACAUACAUAGUAUCUAAAAUGCAUAACUUCAACCUAAUCACAAAAUGUACCAGGCAAGGCCAAACUGAGAGAUGUACACAAACUGGCCAAGCAAUGCUGUCCUGAGGGUCAAGGCCAUGAAAUACAAGAAGAGUAAAGAACUAUUAAGGGAUAUCAUGGAGGGACCAAGGCAGUGGUUCUCUGCCUUCUAAUGCUAUGACUCAUUUUCUUUUUUAAAAACUAUACCUUCACCUAGAUUUUAAAAAAGAUUUAUUUGUUUACUUAUUUAAUGUACGAGUGAUCUAUUGCAUGUACACCAGCUUGCUAGACCAGGGCAUCAGAUCCUAUUAUAGAUGGGCUGGGAACUGAACU
rnacentral:sRNA from 1 species